UACCAGGCACCCCGAGUGGUCGGGACGUUUAUUGGGCCUAAAGGCAUCCGUAGCCGGUUCUACAAGUCUUCCGUUAAAUCCAACUGCUUAACAGGUGGGCUGCGGAAGAUACUAUAGAGCUAGGAGGCGGGAGAGGCAAGCGGUACUCGAUGGGGUAGGGGUAAAAUCCGGUUGAUCCAUUGAAGGCCACCAGUGGCGAAAGCGGCUUGCCAGAACGCGCUCGACGGUGACGGGAUGGAAAGGCUGGGGGAGCAACCGGG
rnacentral:rRNA from 1 species